rnacentral:lncRNA from 1 species
UGAUCCCGCCCCCUCACACCCCUCUCCGGUGCCCGCUUCCUGCGGCGCGGCGCGGCCGCCGCUUCCUGCUCCUCCCCGCGGCGCGUCGGGCGGGCGGCUCCGCCAUGGCCGCCCUGGCGGCCCUUUCAAACGCGGCAGCCGGCGGCAGGGGGCAGGCCUGACUGGCUUUGUGCAGGAAAAGUCCUUGGAACUCUACUGCACCAGCUUCUCUGAGCAAAAGUGUCUGGGAGUUCUCCAAGGUUUCAACCCUGGGAGGAUUGGAAUUAAAGUACAGUAUAAAAUGAAAAUGUUAUUUUCAUGCCUUUGAGGUAUUGGAAAUAAAUAUACAAUUCAGGAUUAUGAUAUUGACUGU